UGAGAUGUACUGAAGAUUCCAUGUUGUUAAGUGCUGGAUCCUGGGCUUUGUUAGCAGGCCAUCCGGUGAGCAUGCUGACACAGGAUAGAUUGCGUGUCGGGACACGAUUUGACGCCAAUUCUUGUACUGGCACUCUUGUUGGUCGUGGGCUACCAUGUAAUCGCGGACAAUCUCGGAAUUCCUGUCUGGCUUGGCUUUUCACUGCUUAAGAUUCGUGUGCGCGCUAGAGACCAUUGAUUCCCUUUCUCCUCUUCCUCAGCUCUUUCUCCUCUCUCACACCACCGCUGCCUCCCCACGCCGUCGCUGCCACCCGUGCUGUCAAGGUUCGAUUCUGGAAAAGCAAGCUGGAGGUGGGGGGAGCGGCCGGCGGCGAGGUCGCCGCCGGCCGGGAUGGUGCUCGAGGCUGGCGGUAGUUAUGGUUGGAGGUUCGGGUGCUCCAACGGCAGCUGGUCUUAGAGAAGGAGGAGGUCAGCAGCAGCGGAAGUCCGAUGGAGGUACGUGGUGGGUUGGUCGGCUGCUGAGGUACUGUGGAGGGCCGUCGAGGUAGAGGGAGCUCCGCUGGCCGGGCAGGGUUGGAAAUCCGAUGGCCAGUGCUGUGGCCAGCAGCGGGGGUUGGGAGGUACACCAGAUUACGAAUGGUGGUGCAGGGC
rnacentral:lncRNA from 1 species